rnacentral:rRNA from 1 species
UGGGGAAUAUUGGACAAUGGGCGCAAGCCUGAUCCAGCCAUGCCGCGUGAGUGAUGAAGGCCCUAGGGUUGUAAAGCUCUUUCACCGGUGAAGAUAAUGACGGUAACCGGAGAAGAAGCCCCGGCUAACUUCGUGCCAGCAGCCGCGGUAAUACGAAGGGGGCUAGCGUUGUUCGGAUUUACUGGGCGUAAAGCGCACGUAGGCGGACUUUUAAGUCAGGGGUGAAAUCCCGGGGCUCAACCCCGGAACUGCCUUUGAUACUGUAAGUCUUGAGUAUGGUAGAGGUGAGUGGAAUUCCGAGUGUAGAGGUGAAAUUCGUAGAUAUUCGGAGGAACACCAGUGGCGAAGGCGGCUCACUGGACCAUUACUGACGCUGAGGUGCGAAAGCGUGGGGAGCAAACAGG